GAUGAACGCUGGCGGCGUGCCUAAUACAUGCAAGUCGAACGCUUCACUUCGGUGAAGAGUGGCGAACGGGUGAGUAAUACAUAAGUAACCUGGCAUCUACAGGGGGAUAACUGUUGGAAACGUCAGCUAAGACCGCAUAGGUGUAGAGAUCGCAUGAACUCUAUAUGAAAAGUGCUACGGGACUGGUAGAUGAUGGACUUAUGGCGCAUUAGCUGGUUGGUAGGGUAACGGCCUACCAAGGCGACGAUGCGUAGCCGACCUGAGAGGGUGACCGGCCAACCUGGGAAUGAGACACGGCCCAGACUCCGACGGGAAGCAGCAGUAGGGAAUUUUCGGCAAUGGGGGAAACCCUGACCGAGCAACGCCGCGUGAAGGAAGAAGUAAUUCGUUAUGUAAACUUCUGUCAUAGAGGAAGAACGGUGGAUAUAGGGAAUGAUAUCCAAGUGACGGUACUCUAUAAGAAAGCCACGGCUAACUACGUGCCAGCAGCCGCCGUAA
rnacentral:rRNA from 1 species